rnacentral:rRNA from 1 species
UACGGGGGGGGCAAGCGUUGUUCGGAAUUACUGGGCGUAAAGAGCGUGUAGGCGGCCCGAUAAGUCCGCUGUGAAAGUCCAGGGCUCAACCCUGGAAUGCCGGUGGAUACUGUCGGGCUUGAAUCCGGAAGAGGUGAGUGGAAUUCCUGGUGUAGCGGUGAAAUGCGCAGAUAUCAGGAGGAACACCAAUUGCGAAGGCAGCUUGCUACACAGUUAUUGACGCUGAGGCACGAAAGCGUGGGGAUCAAACAGG